UACGUAGGUGGCGGGCGUUGUCCGGAUUUACUGGGCGUAAAGAGCGCGCAGGCGGUCGUCCAAGUCGCGUGUGAAAGCCCCCGGCUCAACUGGGGAGGGUCACGCGAUACUGAUCGACUCGAAGGCAGGAGAGGGAAGCGGAAUUCCCGGUGUAGUGGUGGAAUGCGUAGAUAUCGGGAGGAACACCAGUGGCGAAGGCGACUACCUGGCCUGUUCUUGACGCUGAGGCGCGAAAGCUAGGGGAGCAAACGGG
rnacentral:rRNA from 1 species